rnacentral:rRNA from 1 species
UACGUAGGGUGCGAGCGUUGUCCGGAAUUAUUGGGCGUAAAGAGCUCGUAGGCGGUGUGUCACGUCGUUCGGUGAAAACCUGCAGCUUAACUGUGGCGUGCGGUCGAUACGGGCAUCACUGGAGUUCGGCAGGGGAGACUGGAAUUCCUGGUGUAGCGGUGAAAUGCGCAGAUAUCAGGAGGAACACCGGUGGCGAAGGCAGGUCUCUGGGCCGAUACUGACGCUGAGGAGCGAAAGCGUGGGGAGCAAACAGG